AAGAGCUCGUAGGCGGUUUGUCGCGUCUGUCGUGAAAGUCCGGGGCUUAACCCCGGAUCUGCGGUGGGUACGGGCAGACUAGAGUGCAGUAGGGGAGACUGGAAUUCCUGGUGUAGCGGUGGAAUGCGCAGAUAUCAGGAGGAACACCGAUGGCGAAGGCAGGUCUCUGGGCUGUAACUGACGCUGAGGAGCGAAAGCAUGGGGAGCGAACAGGAUUAGAUACCCUGGUAGUCCAUGCCGUAAACGUUGGGCACUAGGUGUGGGGACCAUUCCACGGUUUCCGCGCCGCAGCUAACGCAUUAAGUGCCCCGCCUGGGGAGUACGGCCGCAAGGCUAAAACUCAAAGGAAUUGACGGGGGCCCGCACAAGCGGCGGAGCAUGCGGAUUAAUUCGAUGCAACGCGAAGAACCUUACCAAGGCUUGACAUGUUCUCGAUCGCCGUAGAGAUACGGUUUCCCCUUUGGGGUGGGUUCACAGGUGGUGCAUGGUUGUCGUCAGCCCGUGUCGUGAGAUGUUGGGUUAAGUCCCGCAACGAGCGCAACCCUCGUUCCAUGUUGCCAGCACGUCGUGGUGGGGACUCAUGGGAGACUGCCGGGGUCAACUCGGAGGAAGGUGAGGACGACGUCAAAUCAUCAUGCCCCUUAUGUCUUGGGCUUCACGCAUGCUACAAUGGCCGGUACAAUGGGUUGCGAUACUGUGAGGUGGAGCUAAUCCCAAAAAGCCGGUCUCAGUUCGGAUUGGGGUCUGCAACUCGACCCCAUGAAGUCGGAGUCGCUAGU
rnacentral:rRNA from 1 species